rnacentral:rRNA from 1 species
AGAGUUUGAUCCUGGCUCAGAACAAACGCUAGCGGCAUGCUUUACACAUGCAAGUCGAACGGAGAUAGUUUACUAUCUUAGUGGCAAACGGGUGAGUAACGCGUAGGAAUCUACCUUUUAGUGGGGGAUAACCAACGGAAACGUUGGCUAAUACCGCAUAUUCUCAGAAAUGAGGAAAGAUUUAUUGCUAAAAGAUGAGCCUGCGUCAGAUUAGAUAGUUGGUGAGGUAAUGGCUCACCAAGUCAACGAUCUGUAGCUGGUCUGAGAGGAUGAUCAGCCACACUGGGAUUGAGAUACGGCCCAGACUCCUACGGGAGGCAGCAGUGGGGAAUAUUGGACAAUGGGGGAAACCCUGAUCCAGCAAUGUCGCGUGAAUGAAGAAGGCCUUUGGGUUGUAAAGUUCUUUUACUUGUGAAGAUGAUGACUGUAGCAAGAGAAUAAGGUCCGGCUAACUUCGUGCCAGCAGCCGCGGUAAUACGAAGGGAUCAAGCGUUGUUCGGAAUGACUGGGCGUAAAGGGUGCGUAGGCGGCUAUUUAAGUAAGAUGUUAAAGAUCUAGGCUCAACCUAGAGCGUGCGUCUUAAACUGGGUAGCUAGAGUAUGAGAGAGGAAAGUGGAAUUCCUAGUGUAGAAGUGAAGUUCGCAGAUAUUAGGAGGAAUACCGGAGGCGAAGGCGGCUUUCUGGAUCAUUACUGACGCUGAGGCACGAAAGCGUGGGGAGCAAAAAGGAUUAGAGACCCUUGUAGUCCACGCCCUAAACGAUGAGUACUAGACGUUGGAUUUUUCCAGUGUCGCAGCUAACGCAUUAAGUACUCCGCCUGAGGAAUACGGUCGCAAGACUAAAACUUAAAGGAAUUGACGGGGACCCGCACAAGCGGUGGAGCAUGUGGUUUAAUUCGAAGAUACGCGAAAAACCUUACCGGCUCUUGACAUAGGGAUUUUAGAUUUAAGAGAUUAGAUCUUUCAGUUCGGCUGGGUCCUAUACAGGUGCUGCAUGGCUAUCGUCAGUUCGUGUCGUGAGAUGUUGGGUUAAGUCCCUAAACGAACGCAACCCUUUUUCUUAGUUGCUACAGGUUAUGCUGAGAACUUUAAGAAGACUGCCGAUGAUUUAAAUCGGAGGAAGGUGAGGAUGACGUUAAGUCCUCAUGGCCCUUAUGGGCCGGGCUACACACGUGCUACAAUGGUAACUACAAAGAGAUGCAAUAGGGUGACCUGGAGCUAAUCUUAAAAAGUUAUCUCAGUUCGGAUUGUUCUCUGCAACUCGAGAACAUGAAGUUGGAAUCGCUAGUAAUCGUAGAUCAGCAUGCUACGGUGAAUACGUUCACGGGUCUUGUACACACCGCCCGUCAAGCCAUGGGAGUUGGGGUUGCUUUAAAGCGAUGAGCUAACCGUAAGGAGGCAGUCGUUCACAGCAAAAUCAGUGACUGGGGCUAAGUCGUAACAAGGUAGCCGUAGGGGAACCUGCGGUUGGAUCACCUCC